rnacentral:rRNA from 1 species
UACGUAGGGUGCGAGCGUUGUCCGGAUUUAUUGGGCGUAAAGAGCUCGUAGGCGGUUUGUCGCGUCGGCCGUGAAAUCUCCACGCUUAACGUGGAGCGUGCGGUCGAUACGGGCGGACUUGAGUUCGGUAGGGGAGACUGGAAUUCCUGGUGUAGCGGUGAAAUGCGCAGAUAUCAGGAGGAACACCGGUGGCGAAGGCGGGUCUCUGGGCCGAUACUGACGCUGAGGAGCGAAAGCGUGGGGAGCGAACAGG